rnacentral:lncRNA from 1 species
ACGCCUUGAGCUGAGAGGGGACCCGAGGCCGGAGCCGCACAGGACACAAUUAGAGGCCCGCAAUGACCCAGCUCUCAGGGUACCCAAGGCGUCAGUGCGCCUGACUCUGCGGAGGCCGCUCCCCGCUCAGUCCUACAGCCCAGAGGCAGGCGAUGGCAGCAAGCCCCGCCCCGCCCCAGCCGAGCGCCAGCCAAAAGCUCAAACCCCCAGCCUGGUCACCCUCAGCAACGCCCCGCCAACUCCGCCUCUCCUCUUACAUCCGCCUCGGCGACCUGCCUGCGCAGCGCCCCGGAAGUACGUCAUCUGCCGGUGACCCUGACCCUACUUCAUUUUCACGGAAACUUGGAGUAGACGCCACAACUUGAGGUGCGCAGGUUCUCUGUGAUGUGUAAUGACAGCUGUUGUAGUGUUGGAUUAGGGCCAGCCCACGAAAGGACUAUUCUCGAUGCCCCUAGCAGUUAUAAAUACAUUGAGAAAGCCUCUGGAUCUGAAAUCUUCAACUGGGAAAGUACAAUGUGUUCAGUAAUAUUCCGCUACUCUUCAAAAGCUGAAGCGAAAGUGAUGGAGUGCUUACCUGGGCCAUCAGAUGAGUCAAACGGACACUACCUUAGACAUACACAGGCGCUAGUUCCAGUCAAGAGCCUAUUGCUGCUAUCAAUAGUGUGAAUAUGACCCUCACCUGUAAAACAAGAACAGUAACCUACUUCGGCCACCAUGAGAUGAACAGACUUCCUCCACCACACGCUUCUGCCGCUAUGAUCUACUGUACCAACACAGGUCCAAAGCAACAAGGCCCAGUGACUGCAGACUGAGACUUCUGAAGCUAUGAAGUUUCUUUUAAGGAAUUUUCUCAGAACAACUGCACCAUUUUGCACUCCCACCAGCAAUGUCUGGACAAUUCAAGUUCAAGAGGUGUGGCUGACUUUGUGGUUUGCCCUAAUUUGUGGAGUAAGAGUAACAGGAAAUGACAACAAGAAUAACAACAGCUCUAUUGUAUGUGGCACAUCAGGAAAUCCUAUACCUUCCUCACCAUCAUCACCCCCUUUCAACAACCCACACCCACUGCUUGCUAAUGCACAGGACCCAGCUCUAAUCCCAGAGAUACUUCUCAUUACUGUGGUAUCCAGCACAGUUGUGUUGCACAAGACAUCUGAGAAACAUUUCACAAUACUGCAUGACACAUCCUCUUCCUACAUGUCAGGGUGCCCUGUCAACCAUGUGAUCGCUCCCUGCCAUUGUGAUGCCAUCUGCCACAGGGUCCUCACCAUUGCCAAGCAGAGGGGAUUGAACUCGCGACCUUGUGCUUUCGAGGCAAGAGGCAGAAUCGCUGAGCUAAAUCCCCGGCCCUCAAGAUUUUCUUUUUAUUGGUGGUUUCCAGAAAUGUUUUCUUCAUUUUGUUACUGUUUUCAGUUCACCAGCCAUCCUGACUCUGUAAAAUAUGACUUUCAUAAAAUUGGUACAGUUUUUGCUGUUCUUCAUUGGAACAUUUGCCUGUACUUUUCACCCUUCUCCCUGCAUCUUUUACUCUGGUUGCACACACAUCCGAACUGA